rnacentral:rRNA from 1 species
GACGAACGCUGGCGGCGUGCUUAACACAGAAUGAAGAAACGAGUGGCGAACGGGUGAGUAACGCGUAAUCAACCUGCCCUUCAGCGGGGGACAACAGUUGGAAACGAAUGCUAAUACCUAAUACUGUGAGAGAGCUUUGCGUCCCAUUAGCUAGUUGGAGAGUGAACGGCUCACCAAGGAGCGGAUGGGUAGCCGGCCUGAGAGUGUGAGCGGCAACAAGGGGAAUGAGAUACGGCCCUUACUCUUACGGGAGGCAGCAGUGGGGAAUAUUGGACAAUGGACCAAAGUCUGAUCCAGCAAUUCUGUGUGAACGAUGAAGUUUUCGGAAUGUAAAGUGCUUUCAGUUGGGAAGCGGUACCAACAGAAGAAGUGACGGCUAAAUCCGUGCCAGCAGCCGCGGUAAUAC